rnacentral:rRNA from 1 species
UACAGAGGGGGCGAGCGUUGUUCGGAAUUACUGGGCGUAAAGGGCGCGUAGGCGGCCUGCUAAGUCAUACGUGAAAGCCCUUGGCUCAACUGAGGAAGUGCACCCGAAACUGAGUGGCUUGAGUACUAAAGAGGGUCGCGGAAUUCCCGGUGUAGAGGUGAAAUUCGUAGAUAUCGGGAGGAACACCAGUGGCGAAGGCGGCGAUCUGGGUCGAUACUGACGCUGAGGUGCGAAAGCGUGGGGAGCAAACAGG